ensembl:lncRNA
GGCUGCUGCAGGGUGCGAGUGCUUGGUGUUGGGAGCGGAGGCAAGGCUGCGGUGGCUGGAGUUGUCCCUUUAAACACUGGGUCCAGGGAGGGUAAUCUGCCAGAGAUUAUCUGCUGGCGAGAGGAUUGGCAUUAAAGGGAACGUCUCCUCCCUUCCCCCGUGUCCUACAGCAGCCCCUGUCCUGUGGGGAUGGAAACCAAGUUCACUUUCUCUUGGGCAAGCAGCGAGUGGCCUUUGGUCUGAGGGGCAAGGGGAGGAGGGCAGUGUGUGCGCUAUGGGACUGGGCCCCCUCUUCCUCGCUGUGCUGGCCGUGCUGGUCUCCUGUGAAGACCCAGAAGGAGACCCGGAUACUUACUGGUCUGGCACAGCACCCAUCUGCUUCGGGGUCUGCAAGGGGAAGCACAAGGAGCUGAAGAGGAGCCAGUGUGGGAAUGGCAGCUGCUGCUGGCUGGGCUACAAGUCCUUCUGCAGAGUGAACUGCGGGCGACCCGAAACGGACUUGGACUCGGUGGUGUACGGCAACGACUGGUGGGUCGGCUCGGUGGUGCGGUACAGCUGCCGGCCUGGAUUCCUGCUCCUGGGGGACCCGGCCAGCUCCUGCCAGUCUGAUGGUCGCUGGACCCCCAAGCCCACCUGCCUUCGGAUCUGCCUGCGAGGUCGUAUCGAGAUCAGCGAGCAGGACAUUACCGGGAGGUGCUCUUCAUCCUGCAGCACCCAGGCCCACCUGGGAGCUUUCCUCAACCACAGCUGCAUCAAGAUCUCAGCCUGUGUCACCAAGCGCUCAGGCUGGGUGCGCUGGUUCCAGCGCUGCAACACCUGCGAGUGUGACUGUCAUGUCCCGUGCGGUGAGUCCCGGUUGCGGCCGCCUGCCUUUGGUAAGGGUCUGUCUCGCUCUUUUGUGGGAAGGGUUGACACUGAGAGCUGGGGGCUGCCGGACAGCUCAACAUCUGCUGCUCUUGCUCUCCUGACAGCUUCCUCUGGGUAGAGCUGGGCUGUCCGGGGCUGUGGCCACUGGCCUCAUGCCAAGGGAGGCUUCCAACCUGGAUGUCUGCUUCCCUUUGCCACGUCUCUCCAUCGCUGCCCUCCUUCCGUGAGCUGCAUCCAUCCCAAGGCUGUCAUCCGAGGGGAGAGGAAAUGUUUUGGACUCGCUCUCUUGCAGGGCUGCCUUCCUGCCUGGCCCCAUCCCAUGACCCUUCCACUGUAGGAAGGCCCUUGCCGGGGACCAGAUGGAUGCUGAACGUGCCCAUGGCGCUGACCACCGAGCCUUUCUGGGCACUGGACUCCCAUCCCUGCUGGCCUUCCACCUUGAAAUGACUCCACAGCAGGAUGCUGCAGCAGCUGCUGGUUGCUGUAUGGCCACCAGCUUGGUCUCAGGGGCUGCCAGCCCAGCCUUGGGCAGUUGGGAAGGCUUUAGCAUCAAAGGGGUUCGCUCCCAGGCCCUGCUUGUGCCCACCCGCAGGGCAGCAGGGCUGGCUUGCCCUGCACAGAGGGGGCCUGGGCUGAGACCUGCUGACGGUGAGUGCCCUGAGGAUGGGAGUCAGCGUGCUGAACGCAAACUGGAUGGGUCCGGCAUGUCUUUUGCUCCAUGAGGAGAUGACUUAAGACUUCCUUGUGGAGCCUGGCUCCAUGACUACCUCCUCGUGCCCUCCCCCUGCCCAGCCUGUGGGCUGCCCUGUCCUGCAGGUCUCUCCUCUGGCUGGAUCCUGCUUUGCCAAGGAGCCAAAUCACUGCCCAGCCCAAGCUUAGCUGUGGGAGGGGAAAGCUCUCCUUGGUUCAACAGAUGGGUUUUUAAUUAAUACUUUUGUUAGUGCCAC